rnacentral:rRNA from 1 species
UUUAAAUUUAGAGUUUGAUCCUGGCUCAGGACGAACGCUGGCGGCGUGCUUAACACAUGCAAGUCGAGCGAUGAAACUUCCUUCGGGAAGUGGAUUAGCGGCGGACGGGUGAGUAACACGUGGGUAAU